rnacentral:rRNA from 1 species
UACGUAGGGUGCAAGCGUUGUCCGGAAUUAUUGGGCGUAAAGGGCGCGUAGGCGGUGUGUCACGUCGGCCGUGAAAACCUGCAGCUUAACUGUGGGCGUGCGGUCGAUACGGGCAUCACUGGAGUUCGGCAGGGGAGACUGGAAUUCCUGGUGUAGCGGUGAAAUGCGCAGAUAUCGGGAGGAAUACCGGUGGCGAAGGCGGUUCUCUGGGCCUGUACUGACGCUGAGGAGCGAAAGCGUGGGGAGCAAACAGG